GGGUGCUGAUGAGACCCAACCAGGUCGAAACAAAUGUCCAGCGC
rfam:Echinostoma caproni strain Egypt genome assembly, scaffold: ECPE_scaffold0012347